UCAGAAACCCUGGGUCCCUAUGCUUGAGAAACUUCCUGCCACACGUGUGAGCACAAGUAAAGUCCACCCAAGCCUCUUGCUUCUGGAGUAGCAUGUAAGAAGAAAGCUGUGCUCCAUCCUUGGAACGGAGAUGAAAACUACAAACUGAGAUCAGUGGGAGCUUCGUGGCCAAUUCCAGAGUGCCAGGGACUAUCAGCCAUCGCAGAGCACAGAGGAGGCCUUCCAAACACAGUCAACCUCAUCAUCUGUGUAUAUUCUGGGAAAAUAUAUUGCCAAGAUGAGGAAACUGAGGGUCAGAGAGAUGAACUGACUUCCCUAUGGUCAGUCCCAUCACUGGAAGGAAGGCUGAAAAAUGAGUAAACAAAAGAAGACAAUGAUGAAGAAAUAUUAUGGAUCUAGGGAUGCUGAAGACAGAAACCCAGAAGAAAAG